AUAGCAAGGAACAAGGGACUCCCUAUGAACAUAGGUCGAAAAACGCACCGUUUCUGAGAAAUGAUGCUGAUGAUGAUACGUAAAGAAACUAAGCUUCUUCCCCUUGCCAUGUAAAUGGAAGGAAGUAACCUGGCUGAUUCGUUGCCUGGACUGUGUUCGAGUGUGAGACUACAUGGCUGCAGCAGGUUACAGCAAUGCCGAGUUGGCGGAUAUGCAUUUCAGGUAUGGUCAGGCAAAUGGGAAUGCAGCAGAUGCUGCAGUCUUUACAGAGACAAGUACCCAAACCGACGACACCCUGAUCGUCGCAUGUUCAGCCGUCUUC
rnacentral:lncRNA from 1 species